UACAGAUGUCUCAAGCGUUGUUCGGAUUCAUUGGGCGUAAAGGGUGCGUAGGCGGCGCGGUAAGUCGGGUGUGAAAUCUCGGGGCUUAACUCCGAAACUGCAUUCGAUACUGCCGUGCUUGAGGACUGGAGAGGAGACUGGAAUUUACGGUGUAGCGGUGAAACGCGUAGAUAUCGUAAGGAAGACCAGUGGCGAAGGCGGGUCUCUGGACAGUUCCUGACGCUGAGGCACGAAGGUCAGGGGAGCAAACGGG
rnacentral:rRNA from 1 species